rnacentral:rRNA from 1 species
UUAGGAAUAUUCGGCAAUGGGGGAAACCCUGACCGAGCAAUGCCGCGUGAGCGAUGAAGGCCCUUUGGGUCGUAAAGCUCUGUUGUAGAGAAAGAACAUCCACUAUAGGAAAUGAUAGUGGUUUGACGGUACUCUGCCAGAAAGCCCCGGCUAACUACGUGCCAGCAGCCGCGGUAAUACGUAGGGGGCGAGCGUUAUCCGGAUUUAUUGGGCGUAAAGCGUGUGUAGGCGGUUUAUUAAGUUUAAGAUUAAAGCCCGAGGCUCAACCUCGGUUCGUCUUAAAAACUGGUAGGCUUGAGUGUGGUAGAGGCAAGUGGAAUUUCUAGUGUAGCGGUUAAAUGCGUAGAUAUUAGAAGGAACACCAGUGGCGAAGGCGACUUGCUGGGCCAUUACUGACGCU